UACAGAGGGUGCAAGCGUUAAUCGGAAUUACUGGGCGUAAAGCGCGCGUAGGUGGUUCGUUAAGUCGGAUGUGAAAUCCCCGGGCUCAACCUGGGAACUGCAUUCGAAACUGGCAGGCUAGAGUCUUGUAGAGGGGGGUAGAAUUCCAGGUGUAGCGGUGAAAUGCGUAGAGAUCUGGAGGAAUACCGGUGGCGAAGGCGGCCCCCUGGACAAAGACUGACGCUCAGGUGCGAAAGCGUGGGGAGCAAACAGG
rnacentral:rRNA from 1 species